GAACGCUGGCGGCGUGCUUAACACAUGCAAGUCGAACGGGAUCCUGCGGGCUUUGCCUGCGGGUGAGAGUGGCGAACGGGUGAGUAAUGCGUGACCAACCUGCCCCAUGCUCCGGAAUAGCUCCUGGAAACGGGUGGUAAUGCCGGAUGUUCCCGCGCCCCGCAUGGGGUGCGGGGAAAGCUUUUGCGGCGUGGGAUGGGGUCGCGUCCUAUCAGCUUGUUGGCGGGGUGAGGGCCCACCAAGGCUUCGACGGGUAGCCGGCCUGAGAGGGCGACCGGCCACAUUGGGACUGAGAUACGGCCCAGACUCCUACGGGAGGCAGCAGUGGGGAAUAUUGCACAAUGGGCGCAAGCCUGAUGCAGCGACGCCGCGUGCGGGAUGGAGGCCUUCGGGUUGUAAACCGCUUUUGUUUGGGAGCAAGCCCUUCGGGGUGAGUGUACCUUUCGAAUAAGCACCGGCUAACUACGUGCCAGCAGCCGCGGUAAUACGUAGGGUGCGAGCGUUAUCCGGAUUUAUUGGGCGUAAAGGGCUCGUAGGCGGUUCGUCGCGUCCGGUGUGAAAGUCCAUCGCCUAACGGUGGAUCUGCGCCGGGUACGGGCGGGCUGGAGUGCGGUAGGGGAGACUGGAAUU
rnacentral:rRNA from 1 species